rnacentral:rRNA from 1 species
AAUGAUUAAUUUACUUUAAUUUUAAUUUAUUUUUUUUUAUUAGAAAUAACUUCUUUUUUAGUAGGUUUUACUGAAAUAAUAGUUUUUGUGGUAGUUUACAGGUACUGUAAAGGAUUAUUUAUAUUUUAGUAUAAGGAGUUUUGUUUUAGUGUACCUUUUGUAUCAGGGUUGAUUAAAUUUAUUAGUAUUUAUUUGCUUUUCCCGAAAUUAGGGGAGAUAUUUUUAUAUGUUAGUUGAUGUUUCAUAAUCAUUAAUAAUAUAAUUAUAGUAAUGAAAAGUUAUUCGUUCCUAAAUAUCUGGUUUUCCAGGAAUUGAAUUUAAUUCAGGAUUACUUUUAUUCAAUUUUUCUAUUUUAAUUGAGUAUUGUUUUGUAUUCUAAUAUUCUUGGGGAUAAGCUCAGGUUUAUUUUUAUAAUUUUUAUUUUAUUUUAGUUUAUGUAGGCUUGGAAUCAGCCGUCAUUAAUUUCGUUAUAGAUUAUUCUUGUUUUAUUUUUAUUUUUUAAAAUUUAAUUUUUUACUGGAAUGUUAUAUUUAAUUUUUAAUUGUUUGUAAUAAUGAUUAUAUUAGUAUGUUUGUUAAUUAAGUUAUAGGAACUCGGCAAGUUUUGUGUUCGCCUGUUUAACAAAAACAUGUCCUCUUGUUUUUUAUUUGAGGUUUGACCUGCCCAAUGAGGAGUUUAAUGGCCGCGGUAUAUUAACCGUGCUAAGGUAGCAUAAUCAUUUGUCUUUUAAUUAAGGGCUUGUAUGAAGGGUUGGACGAGGCACAUACUUUCUUUAUCUUAAUUAUUGAAUUUAUCUUUUUAGUUAAAAGACUAAAAUUUUUCUGUGGGACGAGAAGACCCUAUAGAUCUUUAUAUAAUUUGACUUUAGGUUUUUUAGUUUAUAUAAAGUCUGAUUUCUUUGUUUUAUUUAAUUGGGGUGAUUGCAGAGAUUAAAUAACUUCUGUUUUUUUAUUCAUUGAUUGGUGUAAUAAUGAUCCAUUAUUAGUGAUUAUAAGAUUAAGUUACCUUAGGGAUAACAGCGUAAUUUUUUCGGAGAGUUCAUAUCGAUGAAGGAGUUUGCGACCUCGAUGUUGGAUUAAAAUAAGUGUUAGGUGUAGCAAUUUAAUUACUAGGUCUGUUCGACCUUUAAUUUUUUACAUGAUCUGAGUUCAGACCGGCGUAAGCCAGGUCAGUUUCUAUCUUCAGUUUAUUAUUGUGUUUUAGUACGAAAGGACCAAACAUAGGGAAUACUUUUUUUAUUUUGAUUUAUAUU